CCUAAGAGCGAGCCUGGGCCAGAGACUGAGCAGAGAUAAACAAGCUGUAGAGUCUGAAGAUAGGAAGGCUCCCAGAAACAAAUUGUUAUAGAAGAAGAAAUCUUAUAGAAGCUCUGUGGAAAGCGAAAUCUUGUCUGUCUCUUAGUACUCUAUCCUUAGCAUCUAGAAGACUUGGCAAUCAUCUAUUGAAUAAAGGAAAGAAUCACUGUCACGAGGGCAUGGUAGCUAUGAUGUAUCUUCUGGUGGAAGACAUUUUCCAACUCAUCAUCAUUCCUUCAGAUACUGGCUCUAUGUCAGGCUCUCAAUUAUAGGAUUAAUGUAUGUAACAGCUUGAAAGACCAAGGCCAAUCAGAAACCUGCUGCUGUGUUAUGAAGUGCUUUGCCAGGCUUACUAUACAAUCUUGCUGUUAAGACUCUUCCUCUCUGGGUACCUGGGUGUCUCAGUCAGUUAAGCACCUGCAUUCAGC